GACGAACGCUGGCGGCGUGCUUAACACAUGCAAGUCGAACGGAAAGGCCCUGCUUUUGUGGGGUGCUCGAGUGGCGAACGGGUGAGUAACACGUGAGUAACCUGCCCUUGACUUUGGGAUAACUUCAGGAAACUGGGGCUAAUACCGGAUAGGAGCUCCUGCUGCAUGGUGGGGGUUGGAAAGUUUCGGCGGUUGGGGAUGGACUCGCGGCUUAUCAGCUUGUUGGUGGGGUAGUGGCUUACCAAGGCUUUGACGGGUAGCCGGCCUGAGAGGGUGACCGGCCACAUGGGGACUGAGAUACGGCCCAGACUCCUACGGGAGGCAGCAGUGGGGAAUAUUGCACAGUGGGCGGAAGCCUGAUGCAGCAACGCCGCGUGCGGGAUGACGGCCUUCGGGUUGUGAACCGCUUUCGCCUGUGACGAAGCGUGAGUGACGGUAAUGGGUAAAGAAGCACCGGCUAACUACGUG
rnacentral:rRNA from 1 species